rnacentral:rRNA from 1 species
AGGACAACGCGUGGCGGCGUGCUUAACACAUGCAAGUCGAACGGGAGUAUUGAAGAAGCUUGCUUUAGAGAUACUUUAGUGGCGGACGGGUGAGUAACGCGUGAGGAGCUGUCCUAUGCAGGGGGACAACAGCUGGAAACGGCUGCUAAUACCCCAUAAGCCGAGAGGUAAAAGGAUCAAUCCGGCAGAGGAGGUACUCGCGUCCUAUCAGCUAGUAGGUGAGGUAACGGCUCACCUAGGCGAAGACGGGUAGCCGGCCUGAGAGGGCGAACGGCCACACUGGAACUGAGAUACGGUCCAGACUCCUACGGGAGGCAGCAGUGGGGAAUAUUGGGCAAUGGGGGAAACCCUGACCCAGCGACGCCGCGUGGGUGAAGAAAUCCUUCGGGAUGUAAAGCCCUGUUGUAUGGGAAGAGCGGAAGACGGUACCAUACGAGGAAGCCCCGGCAAACUACGUG